CAGUCGCCACGGGAAUACGUAGGUGGCAAGCGUUAUCCGGAAUUAUUGGGCGUAAAGCGCGCGUAGGCGGUUUUUUAAGUCUGAUGUGAAAGCCACGGCUCAACCGUGGAGGGUCAUUGGAAACUGGGAAGCUUGAGUGCAGAAGAGGAGAGUGGAAUUCCACGUGUAGCGGUGAAAUGCGUAGAGACGUGGAGGAACACCAGUGGCGAAGGCGACUCUCUGGUCUGUAACUGACGCUGAGAAGCGAAAGCGUGGGGAGCGAACAGGAUUAGAUACCCGAGUAGUCCCUGUCUCUUAUACA
rnacentral:rRNA from 1 species